ensembl:lncRNA novel transcript
AGAGGACGCGGCGGAGAGCCUGGAGGAGGCGCUUUGAGAGUCGAGGUCUCCCGCCCGCGCGCCUCCCUGGCGCAGACCUCUUUUAACUUUUUGGCGUGGAGUGCGCGUCCUGACGUGCCCCCUGAGCUACAGCUUACUGAGCUUUACUGGCUUCGCCGGACAGCCGUCCCCAGGUGGAGAGACAGCGCGUCGCGCGCUGCCCGGGCCCCGCAGGGCCUGGCGCCUGGGGCCCUUGCGCCGCUUUGGGGCGAGGGGAUCACACCGCGGGCUCCCGGAGCUUAGCGUCUUCCACGCGGCGCUGUGUGUCAUCCACGCAGUGUGCUCUCGCUGCCGUGUUCAGGUCACUGCGAGGGUGAGCCCCGCUUUAUCUACCCCUUCUGCUGUUGAUGGGCACUCGUCUGGGGCUAGAAGGGAUAAGGUUGCUGUGAGCGUUCUCGUGUGUUUUUGGUGCACGCGCACACACAUUUCUCUGGGGUGCAGACCUGUCUAGUAGUGGAACUGCCGUUUCCCAGCACUUUGGAGCAAAGCCCUGUUGCAGUCUGAAGCGGAAAAGGCAGACGGGCCUUCCAUGUUCGUGAUUCCAGCCAGGCACAGAAGGGAAGGACAGGGACAGCAGCCGCGCGGAGGCGAGGAGGGACACUGGGCGCUGCUGUCCCCUCUCAGGGGCAGCCACUCCUCUUGUGGACGCAGGUGUGGUCACCAGAAGGGAAGGACAGCAGAGGACUCUUCAGGGACCUUCCUGGAUCCCCCUGCAAUGGGAGUGGCCUACUUGCUUGACUUGAGGGUGAGACUUGGUCAGCCCUUGACUGUAGGGGGCAGGACCAUGGGCUUCAGUGGGGCAGCACCCAUGACCCACGCCUCUGCUUCCAUUCCCUGCUUACUGCCCGGGCCUCUGGGCAGGGGAGUCUAGUCUCCCUUCCCAGGCUUCCAAUGCCUCGCCCCCUGCUGUGGUAAGGAUUCGCGCUGGUCCCUAUUUAUUAAUCAGGGAACUUGGGGUUCCAGUUUUCUCCCCUUCUCUGCAUCUCAUCCCCUUGAGAGCCCCCUGGAGCAGAGGAUAACGCACGAGGGGACUGGCUGUGUAUAUUUUGAUAACAAUAUCAAAAUACUGUCAAAUACUAAACGGAAAAGAAAUAGGAAAACAUUGAACUUUAUUAAAAUGAACUUCAAAAGACACCAUUAAGAGUAAAAAGAUGACUCACAAAAAAGUUGCCUUUUGUUCAGUAAACGACUCAGGACCAGAAAAUAUGAAGACCCCUACAACAAGAAAAAUAUAGAUAGCUCAGUUAAAAAUUGACAAAAGACUUGAAAAGAUAUUUCACAAAAGGAGAGAUCCAGACAGUCAAUCCACACACGAAAGGGUACUUAGCAUCAGGGAACUGCAAAUAGUGACAUUCGAUUCCAUAUCACAGCCACUGGAUGGCUAAAAUAGCAACGCCAAGUGCUGAUGAGACUGUGGAACAACCAGCUGGGCUCUCAUACCCUGCUGAUGGGAGAGUGGAUUGGAGCAACCACGUGGAAACAUCUAAUGGAGGUAAGCAAACGCCUGCCAUAGGAACCAGCGUGUAUAUCCAAGGGAACCGAGUGCUAGGUUCCUGAUCAUGGUCAAGAUCGCCUACAGCAAAUUUACUUAUUUAUUUUAAUCCCCCAACAAAUGUCUUUAAUGUCUUUAGAAAGAUUAAUUAAAUGGUAGUAUUUUAAGAAUGCAAUGGUAUACUGCACAGCAACAAAAAAAUAACAAACUGCUAAUACUUGCAGCAACAUGGAUAAAUCUCAAAGUAUUGAAUGCAAAGCUACAAUAGAGUGCAUAACUAAGGAUUCCAUUAUAUAAAAUACAAAAUCCAGGCAAGACUGAUCUACAGUGUUAGAGGUCAGGAGAGAAUUUUGGAGGUAGUUGCUUGGGCACCGGGAUACUGCGUGGGGAGCUGUGAGUGCUGCAUAUCUUUAGCUGCGUCCUGCUUGGAGUGCAUACUCUGUGAAAAUUCAUCAACCUGUGCACUUAAGACUUGUGUACUUACAUUAUCUUUCAGGAAAAAGAAAAGAAAAGUAUGCCAAACUUUACCCUUCACCUUUCUUCUCAAAAUGGUCAGGUUUCAGAGCUGUGGUAGAAACUUCUAGUACUGACAACAGCCAGUACCUCCCCGCUUGGCAGCUGAGACUAUGGGACCAGUUCUGGCCAAUGGAAUGUGAGGGGAAAUGACGGAUGUCAAUUCCAGGCUGAAGCUUUUAGUUGCCAGAGCCAGGUCCUCCAGUCCUACCUUUCCACUGUGGCAGUCCCUCUGAAGUCCCAAGAUCAAGAGCUGACAGCUGAAUCCUUGCAUGGAGAGUCGCCUGGACCUGCAGUGGACUCUGGAUGAGGGAGUAUACACCGAAAGGGAGGCAUGACAGCUCCACAUCUGUGUUCACCCUUGUGGAUCCCAGGUGAGACUCCAGAUGAAAUGGGAGAGUUCUCUGACCCCCUCACAGGACAUGUGACAGGAGUGUGGCUAGUCUGUUCAGCCUCCACCACUGCUGAAACACCUUAUGGGAGGGGGAGCAUGCAGAUGGGCAAGCGCAGGUGCCAGGGCCAGCGCUUUUGGGCUUCAACCCCAUGGUGGCAUCUAGGGGUGUGUGUCUGUGACUCCUGAAGCCCCAGUGUGUGUGCUCCAGUGCUCUUUUAGCUCUGCUGUCUGUCAGGCCUCUGAGCCCAAGCUAAGCCAUCAGAUCCCCUGUGACCUGCACGUAUACAUCCAGACGGCCUGAAGCAACUGAAGAACCACAAAAGAAGUGAAAAUAGCCAGUUCCUGCCUUAACUGAUGACAAUCCACCAUUGUGAUUUGUUCCUGCCCCACCCUAACUGAUCAAUUGGCCUUGUGACAUUCCUUCUCCUGGGCAACGAGUCUCAUGAUCUCCCCACCCUGCACCUUGUGAGCCCCGUCCCUGCCCACAAGAGAUAAC